rnacentral:lncRNA from 1 species
AUACUGUUGUACUUUGCUGAACGUGUUAUGUCAGAUUAAACAUGUGCUGAAUGUUUUUUAAUUACAACGCUUAGAAGAAAAUUCUAAAGCAUGUUGCCACACAGUUAAUAUGUGGGUUUAAAGGUUAUAUAUGCCCUGAUGAGAGGAACUGGCUAGGUUAUCAAGAUCCAUAUUUUAUUUUGAGGCAAGAAGGCUGAUGCAAGCCCUGAAGUGACCUGACAGUUUGCUGGCAAGUUUGUGAGAGUGACAGAAGCACCACUGCUCAUCACAUGAAUUCCUCCAGACACCCGGGCUCCAGCCUCCCUCCUAAGGCUUCAAACCUAAAGGCACACAGAAUAGUGUCCUACUGCUCCCCUAUUUCAGUGACCUCCCUGUGAGCCUUUCCCCCCGCUGUCAGAGUGCAGGGGUAUGACAGGAUGGACAGUGCACAUCCCAGUUCAGCACAGCACCGAGAACUCAAGGACUCCCUUUCAACAAGGCAGGUACGAGCAUCUUAUGCCCUGGGGGCUGAAUGCAUGGAAUGAAAUUCACAAUCUGCUCCAAGAAGAAAUGCAGUCUGUUCAUCACCAUGUGCAAGGCACUAAAAUCCUCUCCAGAAGUCUUCCUCAUAUUGGUCUGCAGUGCUUCUCUGUGCUGGAUGUACUUCUGUACAAACACACCAGUGCUUGACAAGAAAGAUCCACUGUCCAGAACUGUUCGACAUACAGCUGAAAGCAAGCCAGGUUUCUAUUUAAUAAAAAUGUGAGAAUAAAAACAACUUCUUUUGAUCUCUUCUCAUUUCACUAUAUGUUCUUGAAGUACCUAAAUACUGUUUAUUUACACUUGAAAUUGGUGCUGCUGAACUACGACAGCAGAGCUUUACUGAUGGUGUGAUUAACCUCAUCUCCCAUUUUGC